CUCUCAUUCAGGUGAUGAUUUCACCUCGGGGCCUGGGAGGCAGCCACGCCUUACUACUGCCCUUACCCUGCCGAGGGGAGGGGCGCUCUGGUAGCCCGCCAGGAGCACAGGAGUGGGUGGGCAUCCUCGCCCAACGUGCCAGCCCCGUGCAUGCUGGCGCCUGCAAAAGACUCGCAGCGAAGCGAGACAGCUGCCUGCGGAGCGUCGUCGGCGCCGCCACUGUUCCGAGAAAGAAAGGAACAAAUAAAUUUAGCUCCGUCCCACGCGGUCCUCACAGCUGAAGCACCGCUAGACAUGCGGAAGGCCUCCGUUCCGACCCCUGACUUCUCGGCCACUGCCCUCUACAAGGGACUUUUGAAGGAGGACAGAAGCAGGAUGAGGGUGGGGCCAGCGCAGAGGAACAUGUAUCCUGAUGGCCAGUGGAACCCCUGGAUCCAGCAGAGAAUCAACUGACUUUCGCCGAGGUCUCCACCGUACCAAGGGAAACCAGCUCUGAGACCUCCAUUUUCUCACCUGAGGAAUGGGACAAUAAUAAGCACUAACUAUGGGUGCUGUGGAUGCAGGCUAGCUUCCGGAACUCAGGGUGAAGACAAACAUGUGAAAAAGCUUUGGAAGUCCCCCAGCCCGUGGAAGGACGCCGCUGCAGUGUCAGCUGCCCUUCCUUGUCACAGGCUUGGCUGAGUGCCAGCCUGGGAGCUUGCUGGGACCUCAGGAUGGGCUGCCCCAGAACAAUGCAUCUUCAACUCUGCUCCCUGAUGCCCAAGCGGGGCGAGUUGGCCCUAGCACAUCCGAGGGCACACGUGGCCACGCUGGGUGGCAUUUAUGGUUGUCACAACAGAGGACACAGAUGGGCGCUGCCUGCCUAUCCCGGUGGAAACCAGGCCGCCUCCACACAUCCUCCAGCCCCACCACAAAAUAAGCAGAAAGCAGCAGCGCAGCAGCCGGGCCACACAUCUCCAUCCAAAGGAAGGAGUGGAAAGCAAGCUCUGGGGGAUCCUGGGUUUCUGGCUCUGGCCAGGCCUGUGGUUCUUUGUGGUUGUUGUUGAGUGCCGGCUUGUGCCCCUGUGGAUGACACUGUGAGAGGCCACAUCCACAGCCAGCUCUGUGCCCUUCUUUAGGAGUGACAUGGGGGUUGCACUUGUCUCCCCCAGGUAAAGGCACUGGGGCACCUGGACUUUGUUCCCCAGUUCAUACACCUGCUCUCUCCCCUACCUGGACAGCUCUAUCCCAUUCCUCACCUGUACAACUCUCAUCCUCCUGCAAGUCUCAAGUCUUUCCAGACAUUCCAGAAAUAAUCAUGUGCCCCUCACCCCUACCCUUCAAGCCCUCAGUGCAUCCGUCACCUCGGGCAAUUCCUUCUCCUGAGCGAUUUCUGGAUGGAAGCUGGGUGAGUGCAUUCGUAGAAUCACACAUCUCGCCUUAAUGCCUCGCCUUCAAGGCUGUUCCUUUUCCUUCUUCUACGAACAUUUUGCCUUCAUCUACCCCGUUAUCACGUCUCUCUACUUCCCACAGGCAGCCACUUCAGCAUCUUCAAAAUAAAUCCUUCCAACCCACUUUCCAAUGCUCCUGAGACACACGCGGUGUGUUACUGGGAGUUUGUUUCAGAUUUGUGUCAGUGGUGUCAGGGCCAUGCAUCUCCGUCUAGUUUCUGCUUUUUCCACUUCAUCCCUCUCUGUAGGAGCUCUCUGGGAUGAUGCAUGCAAACCUAGGGCGUUGUGUAUCAGUUCUGCCUGUUGCAUAUUGUGUCAUCAUUGGCCUGUACCGUAGUUGUUAUAUCCCAGGCAUGGGAGGUGCGGAACACCUGUGCCUCCUGUCUAUGCCCAACUUGGCCACCGCCGACAUCCUCACAUGUGUUUCCAGAGGGCCCUGUGCAGGAGUGGUGGCUCUGGUGGAUGCCCCAGCACCUCAGGUUGUUGCAUUCUCCAGCUGGGUCCUCUGAAAAGAUAUGUGGAAAUUCCCACCUCUGGGACCUCAGAAUGAGACCUUGUUCAUGAGCAAGGUUCACUAAAGAUGAGAUUACUUAAGGUGAGAUGCUUUAGAAAUAAGAUGGGUCCCUAAUCCAACAUGAUUGGUGUCCUUAGUAAAAGAGGAAACCCAGGGGAGGCUGGAGACACAUAGCAAAGGUGACAUGUCACACAGACUGGAGCAAUGCAGCUGUGACCCAGGAACUGCCGAGGGGUGACAUCCACCAUCACAAGCUAGGCAGAGGCAAAGGACUCAGUUCUUUCCUAUUCUGUGGAUCCACACCCCUCUGAGCGCUUGGGUCUUGGAAUGUUCUCAGACAUUUCCCCAAAGGAUCAAUACUGAUAGUUUUCUUCAUGCCUGUAUAGAUGCAUACUAUGAUAUGCUACAUAUCCAGUCAUCCAACCAUCAAUCCAUCAAUCCAUCUGUCUAUCCAUCCAUCUACCCAUCAGUCCUUCUAUCUUCCCACCCACCUGUCUGUCCUUUCAUCUAUCAUCUGGUCAGCCAUUCAUUCUACAGAUUCUUGUUGGACACCUACUCAGUGCUAGGUCACAUUAAAAAAGGAAAAAAAGAAGAGAGAGAGAGAUAAACAGGUCUUUGCCGUCAUGGAACUUCUUGGUGGGGAGACACAAAUAAUUGCACAAAACUCCUCUGUUUUGUUAUUAUUCAAAAAUUCCACAAGGUAGUGUGUCACACAGCAAAACCCAAAGGCAUCUGCUGUUUUCCAUCUCUGGGAUACAGCAAGUCAUGGGGGCUGCUCCCACAGCUCUUGGUAGGACUCUAAGCUGGGAAGGUGGGUCCUUAGAGAGGGGGCAGCAAACACACCAAGAUAUCAAGUCCCCCCACCCUUCACCACGGUCACAUGGUAGAUUUGUAAGAGACUCACUUUCUGCCCCUUGGGCCACUGCCAAGCAAGCACAUUAAAGGCCGGCCAGCCAGGGAAGGAUCAUCUUCUCCAUGGUCGGGAAGAUCAUGGGGAGCUCCUUUCUCCCCAGCAGAAACACACGUGGGGAAAAGCAUUUGACUUGGAGUCCACUUAGGGGGUAACUGUCAUGUGGCUGUGGAAACAAUCAGCUGGCUUCCCUGGUGGCAUUUGUUUUGGGCUGCUCCUGUGCCCCUGGAGAGAGAGGUAAAGUGAAAGGGAGGAGGGAGAGAGGGAGAAAGAGAGAGAGAGAGAGAGAGAGAGAGAGAGAGAGAGAGAGAGAGAGAGAGCACACAGCCCCCGAUCAAGGCUGGGACAGGGGACCUGUAGAGCAUCCACUCAGCGCUGUCAAUAACCGGGUUUUACGGAUGCCUGGAUUCACAGGCCAGAGCUUAGUGCCUCUGCAUCGAUUUCACUAUCAUUUCAGGCAGAAAGCAACCUCCGUGGAGCCCCCGCUUUCCGCCGCUUCCCUUCCUGUGUAGGACAUGGCAUUCCAUUAGGAAAACCAGACUACUCGGAGGACGGCGUGAUGGAUGAGCCUGACGUGAUAAUCUCACUGAGCAAUUACAGGGCUGUCCUAUUAGAGGGAGACACCCCCGUGUACUCGGAACGCUCCGUGAUGUUUGCCACUGGAACAUGGGAGAAAGCCAGAAAGGCAGAGCACAGGCCGACGAGCCGGGAGCCUGAUCUGUUAGGGAGCAACCAGGAUCAGCCUCAGAAGCCUUUGGACGGUUGUGUGUCAUAGGCAGGGAGAACGUUUCCCCAUGUAAUUUCAGAGUCCAAACAAUGAAAAUUAAUUCCUGAGCAAGUAUCUGUUGAGGCCAUGGGUUAAAUACAAGGGCUGAAGUGGUAAUCACUGUUCUCAUGGAACUUUUGACCUCCUUAAGGUAAAUACAGCUCCUGGAUCCCAGAUAGAGAGUAGGCACGCACAUACACAGGAGACAGAGAUAGAUGCUGCAUGUGCAGAUAUGUAGAUGCAUAGAGAUAUAGGUGUACACACACAGAUACAAAGAUGCAUGAAUAUAUUGAUGAUACGAAAGUGAAAACAUACAUAGAUAUGUGAUGGGUAGAUUGGAUGCACUUGACAAUCUUAACCAAAAGGCCUAGAAGCAAUGGAUAGAUAUGCAGGCAGGUGGAUGGAUGGAUGGAUGGAUGGAUGGAUGGAUGGAUGGAUGGAUAGGUAAGUAGAUAGAUAGAUAUGCAGACAGGUGGGUGGGUAGACGGGAGGACACAUGGAUAGAUAAGACAGGUAGGUAGAGAAAUAAUUAGUAGUCAUGGCAGCCAGUGCUCAUUUCCCACUAAAUGAAUCCUACAUCCAUGCGCUGUGCCAGAUUUAGCAAGUAGGUAACCCUCCAUGGAUGUCCUUCCUUACACGUAGCCUCUCUUAGGGGUUGAAUUCCACCUGAAACACAUUCCCUGCCCCUUCCAGGAAAUCUAUGUUGUUGCCCUAAACCCCCAGCAGAAUGCAGUCUGGGAGGACGCAGUCAAGCUUCAGUGAGGUCAUAGGGUGAGUCAUGCAGAGGCGGACGUGCUUGCAAUCAGAGGGGUGCACCAAAACACAUUGAGGGGAGUGCCGGGGAGGACAGAUAUGGACAAAAGAUGGCCUUGGAAAGACAAAGGAAGAGGCUGGGGUGAUGCGUCCAGCAAGGGGUCAACAGAAGCUGAAAGAGGGAAAGAGAAGUCCUCCCCUAGUGGCUUUGGAGGGGGCACACCUGCCUACCUGCACAAUUCUAGACUCAAUCAACUGGUGUUGUGCCCAGUCACCCAGUCUCUGGGAAUUUGUUGCAGCAGCCUCCUGAACACACACACGCACACGUGCACACACACACAAACACACACCUACCACUAGGAAACGGGCACAGUGCUGCCUCUAUCCCAGGCCAGGUCUGUGCUGGCCAUCCUCUGCCGUGCAGCAUGCCUCUUGGCAUGAAAUUUCAUUGCUGUUUCUCCCAUUUGGGAACUCAGAGAGUGGUCAAGGAGGCUUCUGGAGUGAGGGGGUGUGGUUAGUAGGGAGCAUUCACCUCUGGGCAGGCAAGACUUGGAGACUUCAUCCUCCAACCUUGGACAUCCUAGCUGGUCCACCACACUGACCUGUGGGUGCUGGUGAGGUCAUCUGAGGGGUAUGUGUGGCCACACUUGGAGUGUGUGCACACACACACACACACACACACACAUGCACCUGCACACACAGAGAAUAGCUAUUCCAGGCAUGCUCAUUAGCAGCUAACUUUAAUUAUCCCUAAUACUUGCAUCUCAAAUACCAAAGACUUUUGCGUGUGCUGUCUAUGAACACAUACCAAAAAUAGUUCUGUACAGUAAACGCCAGAGCCUAGAGCCCGGAGCCUGGCUGAUUGCAGUUUUUUCAGUUGAAGUCGCCACUCCUGGGAGUCCUUGGGUGCUGCUGAAGCAGGAAUCUGAACACAGACUCUCUGCAAAGAGCAAACCUGCCCUGCCCCCAGCCAAGUGCAUGCAGGUGAGCACUUUGGGGUGCCAAGACCAAGAUGCCUUGCCCCCAGGGCUUCCGUAGCAGGGUGGGCAGGGGGAGAGGGUCAGCCUGAAAUCUGGCCCCUGAACUUCACAGCUUCGGGUAAGGAACCCUCACCCCUACUCCUAGGAUGCUGCCAGCUAUGCAGCUACGUGUAUGUUAAGUGGCUGCAGACUUGCAGGGUGAAAAGUACCUUGAAUGUCAGUGAGAAGGGGAAGGGGACAGCCUUUCUACCGUCCAUCUCUCUCUCUCUCUCCUUCCAUGGCCCUGAAUACCUAAUGUUGGCUGCUGCCUUGAUUUAUUCAUCAUAGCAAGUAUCCAAGGGGGAAGAAAGAAUUACAGGAGCACAUAGCUUUCUCCCCACCUGCUGUCCACAGAAAGAAGGGCCAGUGUCAUUUACAGUGGGUUGAAAGGCGGCCUUCCAAAAUGUGUGUCCUUGUCCUUCCCCGCUAGGGAACUGGUGAAUGUGACUUUGUUUGGGAAAACGGUUUGCAGAUGUAAUUAUAUGAAAGACCUCAACAUGAGAUCAUUCUGGAUUGUGGGCUGGCCCUUGGUUCUGAUGACAAGUUUCCCUCCAGGAGACAUGCAAAGGUGGCAGGUGCUGGAGCCAUGCAGCCACAAGCACAGCUAUGCCAGCGUCCACCGGAAGCUGGAUGUGCACAGGGCAGGGUCUUCCCUAGAGCAUGGUUCUGAUACCACCCGGAC